UUCUUCCCUAGUUGCCGCCUCUCUCUUCCAAGCUCUCUCUCAAACUCUUUCCUCCAUGAAAGUUUAUGUAUAAGCUUCCUAAAUAUUAAUUCCACCAUAAAUCCUUUGAUUUUCUUGAAGAAAAAUUAUAAACAAAUCUUGGAAGGAAGAUUAGAAGGAGAAGAAUUGAAGAAAAUUGAGAGGAAGUGAAGAUCAAAGACUUCACUAAAGAUAAGAGCAAGGAGAAAGCAGCAGAGUGAGCUGCUAUCGAAUUGUGGACCUCACUGAUCUUUUUGUACGGGUAUUAUUUUAUACCCUUGUAGUUAGUUUUGAUGUAAAUAUAAUAAUGUUGUAUGUAUCAAUGUAGUUGAACAGUUGUAAAUAAAUUGUAAUAAUAUUAUUUUGGAUUUUCUUCUGUAAAUUUAAUAUUGUACAUGUGAAUUUCAUGCUUAUUGCCUUGUGAAUGAAGUAUUAAAUAUUUUGAGAUAA